AGGAGGGGCGGCCUUAUUCCUGGGAGGUCGAGCGAAUGGAUUAAGAGCUUGCUCUUAUGAAGUUAGCGGCGGACGGGUGAGUAACACGUGGGUAACCUGCCCAUAAGACUGGGAUAACUCCGGGAAACCGGGGCUAAUACCGGAUAACAUUUUGAACCGCAUGGUUCGAAAUUGAAAGGCGGCUUCGGCUGUCACUUAUGGAUGGACCCGCGUCGCAUUAGCUAGUUGGUGAGGUAACGGCUCACCAAGGCAACGAUGCGUAGCCGACCUGAGAGGGUGAUCGGCCACACUGGGACUGAGACACGGCCCAGACUCCUACGGGAGGCAGCAGUAGGGAAUCUUCCGCAAUGGACGAAAGUCUGACGGAGCAACGCCGCGUGAGUGAUGAAGGCUUUCGGGUCGUAAAACUCUGUUGUUAGGGAAGAACAAGUGCUAGUUGAAUAAGCUGGCACCUUGACGGUACCUAACCAGAAAGCCACGGCUAACUACGUGCCAGCAGCCGCGGUAAUACGUAGGUGGCAAGCGUUAUCCGGAAUUAUUGGGCGUAAAGCGCGCGCAGGUGGUUUCUUAAGUCUGAUGUGAAAGCCCACGGCUCAACCGUGGAGGGUCAUUGGAAACUGGGAGACUUGAGUGCAGAAGAGGAAAGUGGAAUUCCAUGUGUAGCGGUGAAAUGCGUAGAGAUAUGGAGGAACACCAGUGGCGAAGGCGACUUUCUGGUCUGUAACUGACACUGAGGCGCGAAAGCGUGGGGAGCAAACAGGAUUAGAUACCCUGGUAGUCCACGCCGUAAACGAUGAGUGCUAAGUGUUAGAGGGUUUCCGCCCUUUAGUGCUGAAGUUAACGCAUUAAGCACUCCGCCUGGGGAGUACGGCCGCGAGGCUGAAACUCAAAGGAAUUGACGGGGGCCCGCACAAGCGGUGGAGCAUGUGGUUAUUAUUUCGAAGCAACGCGAAGCAUCCUCUACGAGGUCUUGGACCAUCCUCCUGAACAACCCCGUAGAGAAUAGGGGCCUUUCUCCUUUCGGGCAGCAGGAGCUGACCUGUGGGUGGCAUUGUUGUUCCGUCCAGCCUCUUGUUCCAGUGAGCAUGUUGGGAUUAACGCUCCCCCGCUACCGAGGCAGCCCACCCCGCAUGGAUCCGUGAGGGUGUGUGUGCGAU
rnacentral:rRNA from 1 species